CCUACGGGUGGCAGCAGUGGGGAAUUUUGCGCAAUGCUCGUAAGAGUGACGCAGCGACGCCGCGUGAAUGACGAAGGCCUUCGGGAUGUAAAGUUCUUUCGACAGGGAAGAAAAUGCAUAUAAGUAACUGUGUAUGUAUUGACGGUUCCUGUAUAAGCAGCCCCGGCUAACUCCGUGCCAGCAGCCGAGGUAAUACGGAGGGGGCGAGCGUUGUUCGGGGUGGCUGGGCGUAAAGAGCACGUAGGCGGUGUUGUAAGUCAUUAGUCAAAGACCAGAGCUCAACUUUAGUAAGGCUGGGGAUACUAUAAGACUAGAGUAUCAGAGAGGAUUGCGGAAUGCCUGGUGUAGCGGUGAAAUGCGUAGAUAUCAGGAGGAAUACCGGUAGCGAAGGCGGCAAUCUGGCUGGAAACUGACGCUGAGGUGCGAAAGCGUGGGUAGCAAACAGGAUUAGAUACCCCUGUAGUC
rnacentral:rRNA from 1 species